AGAGCGAACGCUGGCGGCAGGCUUAACACAUGCAAGUCGAGCGGGCGUAGCAAUACGUCAGCGGCAGACGGGUGAGUAACGCGUGGGAACAUACCUUUUGGUUCGGAACAACACAGGGAAACUUGUGCUAAUACCGGAUAAGCCCUUACGGGGAAAGAUUUAUCGCCGAAAGAUUGGCCCGCGUCUGAUUAGCUAGUUGGUGAGGUAACGGCUCACCAAGGCGACGAUCAGUAGCUGGUCUGAGAGGAUGAUCAGCCACAUUGGGACUGAGACACGGCCCAAACUCCUACGGGAGGCAGCAGUGGGGAAUAUUGGACAAUGGGCGCAAGCCUGAUCCAGCCAUGCCGCGUGAGUGAUGAAGGCCCGUAGGGUUGUAAAGCUCUUUUGUGCGGGAAGAUAAUGACGGUACCGCAAGAAUAACGCCCCGGCUAACUUCGUGCCAGCAGCCGC
rnacentral:rRNA from 1 species